AGUGAACGCUGGCGGUAGGCCUAACACAUGCCAGUCGAACGGCAGCACAGUAAGAGCUUGCUCUUACGGGUGGCGAGUGGCGGACGGGUGAGGAAUACAUCGGAAUCUACUUUUUCGUGGGGGAUAACGUAGGGAAACUUACGCUAAUACCGCAUACGACCUACGGGUGAAAGCAGGGGAUCUUCGGACCUUGCGCGAUUGAAUGAGCCGAUGUCGGAUUAGCUAGUUGGCGGGGUAAAGGCCCACCAAGGCGACGAUCCGUAGCUGGUCUGAGAGGACGAUCAGCCACACUGGAACUGAGACACGGUCCAGACUCCUACGGGAGGCAGCAGUGGGGAAUAUUGGACAAUGGGCGCAAGCCUGAUCCAGCCAUACCGCGUGGGUGAAGAAGGCCUUCGGGUUGUAAAGCCCUUUUGUUGGGAAAGAAAAGCAGCAGGUUAAUACCCCGCUGUUCUGACGGUACCCAAAGAAUAAGCACCGGCUAACUUCGUG
rnacentral:rRNA from 1 species